rnacentral:rRNA from 1 species
UAGGGGGCGUAGCAAUACGUCACCGGCGGACGGGUGCGUAACACGUGGGAAUGUACUUACUGGUUCGGAACAACUCAGGGAAACUUGAGCUAAUACCGAAUGUGCCCGAAAGGGGAAAGAUUUAUCGCCAGUAAAUCAGCCCGCGUCCGAUUAGGUAGUUGGUGGGGUAAAGGCCUACCAAGCCUUCGAUCCGUAGCUGGUCUGAGAGGAUGAUCAGCCACACUGGGACUGAGAUACGGCCCCGCCUCCUACGGGAGGCAGCAGUGGGGAAUAUUGGACAAUGGUCGCAAGCCUGAUCCAGCAAUGCCGCGUGAGUGAAGAAGGCCUUAGGGUUGUAAAGCUCUUUCGGCGGGGACGAUGAUGACGGUACCCGCAGAAGAAGCCCCGGCUAACUCCGUG